rnacentral:rRNA from 1 species
UACAGAGGUCCCGAGCGUUGUUCGGAUUCACUGGGCGUAAAGGGUGCGUAGGUGGUGAGGUAAGUCGGAUGUGAAAUCUCGGAGCUUAACUCCGAAACUGCAUUCGAUACUGCCGUGCUUGAGGACUGGAGAGGAGACUGGAAUUUACGGUGUAGCGGUGAAAUGCGUAGAUAUCGUAAGGAAGACCAGUGGCGAAGGCGGCCAGCUAGACCAGUUCUGACACUGAGGCGCGACAGCGUGGGGAGCAAACAGG